rnacentral:other from 1 species
CUUAACUGCCGUGUAGGCAGUUUAGAAA